rnacentral:tRNA from 1 species
GGGGAUGUAGCUCAGCUGGGAGAGCGCUUGAAUCGCACUCAAGAGGUCAGGGGUUCGAUCCCCCUCAUCUCCACCA